UACGUAUGGUGCGAACGUUGUUCGGAAUCACUGGGCAUAAAGAGCACGUAGGCGGUUGAGCAAGUCCAUUGUGAAAUCCCCCGGCCUAACCGGGGAACUGCAUUGGAUACUACUUGACUUGAGUGCAGGAGGGGAGAGUGGAAUUCCAGGUGGAGCGGUGAAAUGCGCAGAUAUCAGGAAGAACACCCAUGGCGAAAGCAGCUCUCUGGGACGGUACUGACGCUGAGACGCGAAAGCGUGGGGAGCGAACAGG
rnacentral:rRNA from 1 species